CAGGCCGUUGUACACGUAGGAGUAGCGCUCGUUCUCCGGCAGCGUGUUGAUCAGGUCGGUCAGGAUCUCGCCGUUCGAGGUCAGCGUGGCCAGC
rnacentral:tRNA from 1 species